rnacentral:rRNA from 1 species
UCCAGACUCCUACGGGAGGCAGCAGUGGGGAAUAUUGCACAAUGGGGGAAACCCUGAUGCAGCGACGCCGCGUGAGUGAAGAAGUAUCUCGGUACGUAAAGCUCUAUCAGCAGGGAAGAAAAUGACGGUACCUGACUAAGAAGCCCCGGCUAACUACGUGCCAGCAGCCGCGGUAAUACGUAGGGGGCAAGCGUUAUCCGGAUUUACUGGGUGUAAAGGGAGCGUAGACGGCAGCACAAGUCUGGAGUGAAAUCCCGAGGCUUAACCCCGGAACUGCUUUGGAAACUGUGCGGCUGGAGUGCAGGAGGGGUAAGCGGAAUUCCUAGUGUAGCGGUGAAAUGCGUAGAUAUUAGGAGGAACACCGGUGGCGAAGGCGGCUUACUGGACUGUAACUGACGUUGAGGCUCGAAAGCGUGGGGAGCAAACAGGAUUAGAUACCCCGGUA